GAUGAACGCUAGCGGGAGGCCCAACACAUGCAAGCCGAGCGGUAUUGUUUCUUCGGCAAUGAGAGAGCGGCGUACGGGUGCGUAACACGUGUGCAACCUGCCUUUAUCUGGGGGAUAGCCUUUCGAAAGGAAGAUUAAUACUCCAUAAUAUAUUGAACGGCAUCGUUUAAUAUUGAAAGCUCCGGCGGAUAGAGAUGGGCACGCGCAAGAUUAGCUAGUUGGUGAGGUAACGGCUCACCAAGGCGAUGAUCUUUAGGGGGCCUGAGAGGGUGAUCCCCCACACUGGUACUGAGACACGGACCAGACUCCUACGGGAGGCAGCAGUGAGGAAUAUUGGUCAAUGGGUGCAAGCCUGAACCAGCCAUCCCGCGUGAAGGACGACUGCCCUAUGGGUUGUAAACUUCUUUUGUAUAGGGAUAAACCUACCCUCGAGAGGGUAGCUGAAGGUACUAUACGAAUAAGCACCGGCUAACUCCGUG
rnacentral:rRNA from 1 species